rnacentral:tRNA from 1 species
GGAUAUGGCUCAGUUGGUAGAGUGCUUGCCUUGCAUGCAAAAGGCCAUGGGUUCAAUCCUCAGCACCA